CCCGCCCCGGGAGCGGCGCAGGGCGGGCCCGGGACCCGAGGGGGUCUCCGUUGAGUUCACGGAGGGCCCCGGAGGCUGACGUGCCGAGAAGCGCGGGACAUGAUCCCACGAUUACAGGGAAGGGAAUCGGAACCGGAGAUCCUGGGGAAACGGCCCGUGUCGGGGUUUGGCCUGUGUCACUGGUUAAGAAAUAACUCUCUAGAUUUAAACUUUUUUUUCUUCUUCAUGACCUACCCUUGGCGCUUAGUAGGUAUCUAUGUGUGUGUGUGUGUGUGUGUGUGUGUGUGUGUGUGUAUUGUUCUCAUUGAUUUCGGAGAGGAAGGGAGAGGGAUAGAGAGAGAAACAUCAGUGAGGAGGGAGAAUCAUUGAUUGGCUGCCCCUGCACGCCCCACGCAUGUGCCCUUGACCGGAAUCGAACCCAGGACCCUUCAGGACACAGACCGGGGCUCUAGCCACUGAGCCAAACCCGCUAGGGCCGAAACCACUGUAUUUUAAAGGGAGGAACAGUCUAAGAGAUUACUACUGUGAACUGAUCAACAAAGAGCUUGUUCCUCACGUCACCUUUGUGCAGAGGAAGCAGGUAGAGCCAAGGGUGAGUGAAGCCUGCCCAGGUGACUAGAGCCAGGGAGGGGCUGGGAGUUGCAGGCGCAGCCUGAUGCAUCCUCUUCUCUGCUGAUCCCCAGUUUUCAUUUCUUAUAGAUUGCUCUGCCCUGUCCACAGGAGAAGCAGCAGAUGACUGCUUACCAAAAUGGUCGAGAGUUGAAUUGUUAGGCUUCCAGUAAACUUGCUUUUGUGUGUUCUUUGGGGGGCUUCCGCUUGUGAUGGUUUUAUGUCACUAAGUCAGCAAUCUUCCGUUAGCAAGUGUGACCCUAUAGAAGUCACAAAAAUGCAUCAGUUGUCCUUUUUUAAGGAAUUCAGAAUAUCACAGAAGAGGUACAGUAGUAGUGACAAUUCAGAAUAGAGCAGCACGACUUGGAUAAGAGCUGUUAUAACAAGAAGUUCAGGAGGGGCUCCCCGAGGCUGCAGGAUCAGGAAACGCUGAAAGCUCGGCCCGUGCGCAGGCGUCUGAGGAUCACCUGUAUUACCUUCCUCUCUGGAGGAGGAGCGUCAGCCUCCUGAGCUCACCGCCUCCUACACGGGCUGUAAACGAUUGCUUGCCACCUUCUCAGUGAUUAUGUUUCUCUUUGUACUUUGGGGUAACCUGCCACCAAUAAAACAUGUCCUGGAGUUAUUUUCUGAGUCUUGGGAAUGAGGCGAUUCACAUACUCCCGGUUGACUGGCCUACAUUGUAAAGCGGGUGAUUCAGAUCAAUGUCAGUUGCUGGGACAGUCUCGGGUGUAGUCGCUCAAACACAGACUCUUCAUUUGUCGUAGUUCCCGAUUAUGUGCUUUUCAUAUUUUCGUGGCUACUAAUGACUUUUUAUAAAAUAAGCAUAGGCAGUCCUGUGGUGAUGUUUGUAGGUUGUCAAUAAACAAUGUUCUUCCUGUUUUUAUUUUUUAAUAUAUUUUUAUUGAUAUUCUUCCUGUUUUUAAAUAGUAUCUGUACAUCUUCAAAGUCUUAAUAGAAAAUAAACACACUUUCUAGAACUCUUCAAAUAAGGA